rnacentral:rRNA from 1 species
UACGUAGGGUGCGAGCGUUGUCCGGAUUUAUUGGGCGUAAAGAGCUCGUAGGCGGUUUGUUGCGUCGGCCGUGAAAUCUCCAGCGCUUAACGUGGAGCGUGCGGUCGAUACGGGGAGACUUGAGUUCGGUAGGGGAGACUGGAAUUCCUGGUGUAGCGGUGAAAUGCGCAGAUAUCAGGAGGAACACCGGUGGCGAAGGCGGGUCUCUGGGCCGAUACUGACGCUGAGGAGCGAAAGCGUGGGGAGCGAACAGG